UACGUAGGGGGCGAGCGUUAUCCGGAUUUAUUGGGCGUAAAGCGUGUGUAGGCGGUUUACUAAGUCUAAGAUGAAAGCCCGAGGCUUAACCUCGGUUUGUUUUGGAUACUGGUAGGCUAGAGUGUGGUAGAGGCAAAUGGAAUUCCUAGUGUAGCGGUGAAAUGCGUAGAUAUUAGGAGGAACAUCAGUGGCGAAGGCGAUUUGCUGGGCCAUUACUGACGCUGAGACACGAAAGCGUGGGGAGCAAAUAGG
rnacentral:rRNA from 1 species